rnacentral:rRNA from 1 species
GACGAACCGAGCAAACGUUAUUCGGAAUCACUGGGCUUAAAGGGCGCGUAGGCGGGCAUCCAAGUCUGUGGUGAAAUCCGGCAGCUUAACUGUCGAACUGCCGUGGAUACUGGGUGUCUCGAGGGAGGUAGGGGCGUGCGGAACUAUUGGUGGAGCGGUGAAAUGCGUUGAUAUCAAUAGGAACACCAGUGGCGAAGGCGGCUAACUGGUCCAGAUCUGACGCUGAGGUGCGAAAGCGUGGGGAGCAAACAGG